UACAGAGGGUGCAAGCGUUAAUCGGAAUUACUGGGCGUAAAGCGUGCGUAGGUGGAUAAGUGUGUUGGCUGUGAAAGCCCCGAGCUUAACUUGGGAGGGUCAGCCAAAACUGCUUGUCUAGAGUAUGGUAGAGGAAAGUGGAAUUUCCGGUGUAGCGGUGAAAUGCGUAGAUAUCGGAAGGAACAUCAGUGGCGAAGGCGACUUUCUGGACUAAUACUGACACUGAGGCACGAAAAGCGUGGGGAGCAAACAGG
rnacentral:rRNA from 1 species